rnacentral:tRNA from 1 species
UUUUUAUUUUAGGGGAUUUUGAAAAUCUCUAAAGGCUUUUGCCAUGGCAAG